CCGCCGGGGGUCUCCCCGGCGGCACCGCACUGAGCCGGUACCUGGUACGGCCGGCUCAG
rnacentral:ncRNA from 1 species